ensembl:snRNA U6 U6 spliceosomal RNA
CCCUUCAUCAGUGCGUAUAUUAAAAAGUGGAAUUAUACAGAGAAGAUUGUCAUGGCCUGAAAACAAGGAUAACAUGAAAAUUCAUGAAAUAUUCCUUUUUGUU